rnacentral:lncRNA from 1 species
AAGUGAUACUGUAAGAGAAGGGAAACACUAGAAGGCUCACCUGAGGGGACAUUGCUUCACCGGGGCAUCUGCAUUGGGAACCCCAGCUGUCUGCCUUGAAGGGGCUUCCCCAGAGAUCAGAAUCAGGCCACUCCCGUCCAGACCCUAUGACAGGCCCCCUGCACAUGUCUCUUCUAGAGUUCCUUCACGUGGGGAAAGGCAAGUGCAGGCCACACUGAAGGAGCCUUUGGCUUGAAGCAGACAUCCCUGAAUGCUGGGGCCCAGAAAUUCUUUCCAGAACCCCUGCCUUUCCCAUGGGGCAAAGCUCAGCAGAGAUGCCAAGAACCUGGAGAUGUUUCCAGCAAGCAACCUAGCAUCAGGGUGAUGAUGUACACAAGGCUGAAGAAAGGAAAGCAAGCAGAGGGCAAAGACCUGACAAGGCAUGAAGAGGCAUCGGAGAAGACAAAACUUGUAGGGGGAGGUGCUGAUUCUCUAAUUGGUUGUUAAUUGUGUCAAUAAAGAAGGCGAGAGCC